ensembl:lncRNA
CAGGACACGGAAGCAACCUAAAUGUCCAUCAACAGAUGAAUGGAUGAAGAAGAUGUGGUUCCUACAUGCAGUGGAAUAUACUCAGCCAUAAAGAUGGAUGAAACAAUGACAUUUGCUGCAACAUGGAUGGACCUAGAGAUUAUCAUAUUAACCACUGCCGUCUUGGACUCCUUUUUCCUAUUCUAACUACCUAACACGUUUGAAGAGACCUGAGUGGAGAGAGAGAGAGAGAAAUAGCAAAGUCAUGUGGUGACUGGAGAAGAGUGUUCAGAGCAGGUCUUUAGUGUGACCUGAGCCUGGACCCGGACAGAAGCUGCAUCCCCGUGGCCCCAGGAAGACUGCAUCCCAUCACCUGUUGCUCACCCAGAAGCAGAGACCUGACUCAUUGGAGAAGACUCUGAUGCUGGGAAAGAUUGAAGGCAAAAGAAGUAUGGGCAGAGGACAAGAUGGUUGGAUAGCACCACUGACUCAAUGGAUGUGAGUUUGAGCAAACUCUGGGAGAUAGUGAAGGACAAGGAAGCCUGGUGCGCUGCCGUUCAUGGGGUCACAAAGAGUCGGACACGACUUAGCAACUGAACAACAAAAGUUGCAGGAAGCAGAGGGCACUCAUCGUUGCAUUGCUCAGACUUCUCAUUUUGGUGGCUUCUCUGGUCUCACAGCACAGGCUCUAGAGCACAGGCUCAGCAGUUGUGAUGCACGGACUUAGUUGCCCCAUGGAUGUGAGAUCUUCCCAGAUCGGGGAUCCAACCCAUGUCACCUGCAUGGGUAGGUGGAUUCUUAUCCACUGAGCCACCAAGGAAGUCCAAAGGAAAAGUUCUGGAAGAAAAUGGUCAGUGUUGCUGCAGUGAACACAUG